rnacentral:rRNA from 1 species
UACGGAGGGUGCAAGCGUUAUCCGGAUUUAUUGGGUUUAAAGGGCGCGUAGGCGGGAUUGUAAGUCAGUGGUGAAAGCCCGUAGCUCAACUACGGAACUGCCAUUGAUACUGCAGACCUAGAGUACACUUGAAGUGGGCGGAAUGUGUCAUGUAGCGGUGAAAUGCUUAGAUAUGACACAGAACACCAAUUGCGAAGGCAGCUCACUAAAUUGUAACUGACGCUGAGGCUCGAUAGCGUGGGGAUCAAACAGG